rnacentral:rRNA from 1 species
UGAGGAAUAUUGGUCAAUGGACGGAAGUCUGAACCAGCCAUGCCGCGUGCAGGAUGACGGCUCUAUGAGUUGUAAACUGCUUUUGUAUUAGGGUAAACUCAGGUACGUGUACCUGACUGAAAGUAUAAUACGAAUAAGGAUCGGCUAACUCCGUGCCAGCAGCCGCGGUAAUACGGAGGAUCCAAGCGUUAUCCGGAUUUAUUGGGUUUAAAGGGUGCGUAGGCGGUUUGAUAAGUUAGAGGUGAAAUUCCGUAGCUCAACUACGGCACUGCCUCUAAUACUGUUAAACUAGAGAAUAGUUGCUGUUGGCGGAAUGUGUGGUGUAGCGGUGAAAUGCUUAGAUAUCACACAGAACACCGAUUGCGAAGGCAGCUGACAAAGCUAUUUCUGACGCUGAGGCACGAAAGCGUGGGGAUCAAACA